UACGGAGGGGGCAAGCGUUGUUCGGAAUUACUGGGCGUAAAGGGCUCGUAGGCGGCCAACUAAGUCAGACGUGAAAUCCCUCGGCUUAACCGGGGAACUGCAUCUGAUACUGGAUGGCUCGAGUUUGGGAGAGGGAUGCGGAAUUCCAGGUGUAGCGGUGAAAUGCGUAGAUAUCCGGAAGAACACCGGUGGCGAAGGCGGCCUGCUGGGCUAUGGCUGACACUGAGGCGCGAAAGCGUGGGGAGCAAACAGG
rnacentral:rRNA from 1 species